GACGAACCGUGCGAACGUUAUUCGGAAUCACUGGGCUUAAAGGGCGCGUAGGCGGCCGCUCAAGUCCGGGGUGAAAUCCCCCAGCUCAACUGGGGAAGUGCCUCGGAUACUGGGUGGCUCGAGGGAGGUAGGGGCGUGUGGAACUUCCGGUGGAGCGGUGAAAUGCGUAGAGAUCGGAAGGAACGCCGGUGGCGAAAGCGACACGCUGGACCUCUUCUGACGCUGAGGCGCGAAAGCCAGGGGAGCAAACGGGAUUAGAUACCCCGGUAGUCCUGGCCAUAAACGAUGGGCACUAGGUAGUGGACUGACAUGGGUUCACUGCCGAAGCAAAAGUGUUAAGUGCCCCGCCUGGGGAGUAUGGUCGCAAGGCUGAA
rnacentral:rRNA from 1 species